UGUGCUGGACAGACGAUCGCUGCCGGUUCAUUCCGGUGGAGGAAAGUCCGAACACGACAGGACACGGUGAUGGGUAACGCCCACCGGCCCCGGGUCGCGGGGUCAGGGAAAGUGCCACAGAAAACACACGGCCGAUGACUUCUGGAAACAGAGGCACAGGCAAAGGUGAAAAGGUGCGGUAAGAGCGCACCGCUCGAUUGGUGACAAUCGGGGCAUGGUAAACCCCACCGCGUGCAAGCCCAAGCAGCCCCACCCCCGGAUUCAUUUUCGGAGGUUUCUGCGGUCCGCAGGACAAGGGCGGGUCGGGUGCUCGAGGCUGACGGCAACGUCGGUCCCAGAUGAAUGAUCGUCACCCCGGAAGUAUUUAUUUCCGGGGGACAAAAUUCGGCUUAUCGUCCGGCUCGCGAC
rnacentral:RNase_P_RNA from 1 species